AGCGAACGCUGGCGGCAGGCCUAACACAUGCAAGUCGAACGGAUCCUUCGGGAUUAGUGGCGGACGGGUGAGUAACACGUGGGAACGUGCCCUUUGGUUCGGAACAACUCAGGGAAACUUGAGCUAAUACCGGAUGUGCCCUUCGGGGGAAAGAUUUAUCGCCGUUGGAGCGGCCCGGGUCUGAUUAGCUAGUUGGUGGGGUAAAGGCCCACAAAGGCGACGAUCAGUAGUUGGUCUGAGAGGAUGAUCAGCCACAUUGGGAAUGCAAACACGGCUCAAACUCCUACGGGAGGCAGCAGUGGGGAAUCUUGCGUAAUGGGCGAAAGCCUUACGCAGCCAUGCCGCGUGAAUGAUGAAGGUCUUAGGAUUGUAAAAUUCUUUCACCGGGGACGAUAAUGACGGUACCCGGAGAAGAAGCCCCGGCUAACUUCGUGCCAGCCGCCGCCGUAAGAC
rnacentral:rRNA from 1 species